GAUGGGCAGUAGUUAUCACUAAGUGUAAGGAGUAUAAUUUUUGUUAAUCCAGACACAGCUGACGUCCAACGAAUUCAAUUCCGAUUGCAAGACACUCUAGUCAUAGACAUCUAGUUUGAAACGUGCAGUUUUUCUGAACAACGCUGACAAGACAUAAUUAUAGGUCCAUGUGUCAUGAACUACCUAGCGGUGAAUACUCAUAAUUCGAAGUUAAAAUCUGUAAUGGCCGACUCGAAAACAUUCUUCAAACUCCCAUCAUACAAUGGCGACCCUAUCAAAUUGUAUUAUUAUCUUAACUGUGCGAAACAAUGGUUGGAUUCUGUAGGAGAGACACAAGAUAAUGUCAUGCUACUAUUAGGUAAAUUAGAGGGAAAAGCGGCGAUCUACGUGAGCAUGACAGAUCAUGGCUUUAAAUGGGAGCAUAUUGAAGAAAUAUUAAAACAGGAGUGUAAUAAGGAAGAUAACACGUUAAUAAUAGAGAUAUUAAAUCUUAAAAGACACGGAUCAUUCCAAGAUUUAAUUCGAGAGUUGAAACAAAAACUCUUUUUUAUUAAGAGUAAGUUAUGGUACAUACACAAAGAUCCAAUUUUAGUUGAUGCCGUAAUGGUCCCGUAUAUGAACAUAGCGCAAAUCACCUUAAGGAAUAGUUUGCCGUAUAGUGACCAGAUAUAUGUGAGUUCUAACAGUUUUGCGGAAACUGCAUCAAAAAUAUUGCAGUUAGAGGCACAAGGUAGAUUUGAUAUAAAGUCUUCACAGGCUUUAGGGUCAAAUUUGAACCCAUAUCGGACUAAUUAGCCUCAUUCCAACCGCUCUGUAUAACAAAGAAUAAAUAACCACACCAAAUAACAAUGUCUUUGCCCAUGACUCCAGAAUGUGCGGCAUGUUAAAAUUAAGACGGAAAGAUUUAGACUUUGAAGACAAUAAAUAAAUUUCAGAAUUU